AUUAACAUAUUUGGUCAUUUUACUUUGAAUUGGAAGUCUGAAAUAAAUCUCUGUAACCCUUAAAAAUGGGGUUAGUUGUCCAAUGAAGAAUAAAGAAUGGGGCUUCCCUGGUGGCUCAGAUGGUAAAGAAUCUGCCUGCAAUGAAGAAGACACAGGUUCGAUCCCUGGGUCGGGAAGAUCCCCUGGAGAAGAUGGUGCUGCCGCAUCUGAAGAUAAAAUGAGGCCGGUCACCUCUGCUUCAAAACCGUUGCACUGGAAUCCAUCUUGGCUAAAAGGUGUGCAAGCAGGAGGAGAGGACCCUGAGGUGGAUCAGACAUGGACUCAGAGCUAGACAAGGCAAGAUGACUGGCCAGAGGGAACCCAGAACCGACCCACGAAUCCAAAGACUCACGUUAAACUCUUCUGUGAAUUCCCCACUUCCCCUGAGACCCCACGGGACAUGGAGGACCCUGGACAACCUGAAAACUCCAGGUGGAUUUUUUGAGUGAGCCUCUCCAAGACUUAAAGCUCUUGUUCAGGAAGGAUAAAUAGGGACUUCCCUGGUGGUCCAGUGGUUA
ensembl:lncRNA